CCACGGGCGCACGGCGGAUGCCUUGGCACAGGGAGCCGAUGAAGGACGCGGCAAGCUGCGAUAAUCCCCGGCGAGGAGCACACAUCCUUCGACCCGGGGGUCUCCGAAUGGGCGAACCCAUCCACAGCAGUGUGGAUAUCCCCACCCCGAACACAUAGGGGUGGGGAGGACAACCCGGGGAACUGAAACAUCUAAGUACCCGGAGGAGAGGAAAUCAAUCUCGAGACUCCCCGAGUAGCGGCGAGCGAAAGGGGACCGAUGGCCAAACCGUCGAGCGGGCAUACCCGGCAGGGGUUCCGCCGACGGGGUUGCAGGGCCGCGCAUCCGGGGGCUGCCGCCCCCGGGCGCAGGUCCGGCUGGGGAGCGGAACGGCAUGGGAGGGCCGGCCGCAGCGGGUGACAGCCCCGUACGCGAACCCAGACCGGACGGCGCGACGCGGUCCCUGAGUAGGGCCGGGCACGUGAAACCCGGUCCGAACCUGGGUGGACCACCAUCCAAGCCUGAGUACUACCCUGUGACCGAUAGCGCACCAGUACCGUGAGGGAAAGGUGAAAAGCACCCCGGGAGGGGAGUGAAACAGUACCUGAAACCGUGCGCCCACGAGCAGUCGGAGCACCCUUGUGGUGUGACGGCGUGCCUUUUGUAGAAUGAGCCAGCGAGUCGCUGGCGCGGGGCGAGGUUAACCGAAAGGGAGCCGGAGCGAAAGCGAGCCUUAACAGGGCGACUUGAGUCCCGCGCCGCGGACGCGAAGCCGGGUGAGCUAUCCGUGGGCAGGCUGAAGCGGGGGUAAGACCCCGUGGAGGGCCGAACGCACGUCGGUUGAAAACGGCGGCGAUGACCUGCGGAUAGGGGUGAAAGGCCAAUCAAACCCGGAGAUAUCUCGUUCUCCCCGAAAUAGCUUUAGGGCUAGCGUCGCGCGUUCACCGCCGGAGGUAGAGCACCGGAUGGACGAGGGGGCUUCGCCGCCUACCGAAUCCAACCGAACUCCGAAUGCCGGCGGCCCAGAGCGCGGCAGUCAGAGCAUGUGGGCUAAGCUGUGUGCUCGAGAGGGAAACAGCCCGGACCGCCCGCUAAGGUCCCCAAGUUCCAGCCGAGUGGCAAAGGAUGUGCGUCCGCCCAGACAACCAGGAUGUUGGCUUAGAAGCAGCCAUCCAUUCAAAGAGUGCGUAACAGCUCACUGGUCGAGUGGACAUGCGCCGACAAUACACGGGGCUAAGCUGGACACCGAAGCGGCGGGAUUUUGAUUUUCAGAAUCGGUAGGGGAGCUUCCCAUGGGCGGUGAAGCCGCCGGGCGACCGGCGGUGGAGCGCAUGGGAGUGAGAAUGCUGGCAUGAGUAGCGAGAGACGAGAGAGUAACUCGUCCGCCGUGAACCCGAGGUUUCCUGGGCAAGGCUAAUCCUCCCAGGGUCAGUCGGGGGCUAAGGCGAGGCCGGGAGGCGUAGCCGACGCGCAGCAGGCAGACAUUCCUGCACCGCGCACGCGGCGCUACGACCGACGGGGCGACGGAUGGGGGUGGCUCGGCGGGGUUCUGGACGUCCCCGUGAUGGAGCGCGGCCCGCGGACCAGGGAAAUCCGGUCCGCACGAGGGCGAGGCUCCGGACGAAGCGAUCAAGCGAAGCGAGUGAGCCCGAGGUCCCUAGAAAAACCCCUAGGCAGGCGCGUGCGCGCCCGUACCGCAAACCGACACAGGUGGGUGGGUAGAACAUACCGAGGCGAUCGGGUCAACCAUGGUCAAGGAACUCGGCACAAUGGCCCCGUAACUUCGGGAGAAGGGGUGCCCGCGCGUACGUGAACGGACUUGCUCCGGGAGCGGAGGCGGGCCGCAGUGGAGAGGCCCAAGCGACUGUUUACCAAAAACACAGGACUCUGCAGAAGCCGCAAGGCGACGUAUAGGGUCUGACGCCUGCCCGGUGCCGGAAGGUCACGCGGAGGAGUUAGCCGCAAGGCGAAGCCCCGAAGCCAAGCCCCGGUAAACGGCGGCCGUAACUAUAACGGUCCUAAGGUAGCGAAAUUCCUUGUCGGGUAAGUUCCGACCUGCACGAAAGGCGCAACGACUUGGGCGCUGUCUCGACCAUGGACCCGGUGAAAUUGCACUGGUCGUGAAGAUGCGACUUACCCGCGGAAGGACGGAGAGACCCCGUGAACCUUCACUGCAGCUUGGCAUUGGCCGCUGGUCCCGCGUGUAGAGGAUAGGCAGGAGGCACAGAUCCGGAGGCGCCAGCCCCCGGGGAGCCGCCCUUGGAAUACUGCCCUCGCGCGACCGGCGUCCUAACCCGAGGCCGUCAACCGGCUCGGGGACCGUGCCAGGCGGGCAGUUUGACUGGGGCGGUCGCCUCCUAAAGGGUAACGGAGGCGCGCGAAGGUCCGCUCGGGACGGUCGGCAACCGUCCUUUUGAAUGCAAGAGUACAAGCGGGCUUGACUGCGAGGCCCACAAGCCGAGCAGGUGCGAAAGCAGGCUCUAGUGAUCCGGCGGCCCCGAGUGGGUGGGCCGUCGCUCAACGGAUAAAAGGUACUCCGGGGAUAACAGGCUGAUCUUGCCCAAGAGUCCACAUCGACGGCAAGGUUUGGCACCUCGAUGUCGGCUCAUCGCAUCCUGGGGCUGGAGCAGGUCCCAAGGGUACGGCUGUUCGCCGUUUAAAGCGGUACGCGAGCUGGGUUCAGAACGUCGUGAGACAGUUCGGUCCCUAUCCUCCGUGGGCGCAGGAGAAUCGAUGGAGGCUGCCCCCAGUACGAGAGGACCGGGGUGGACGCACCUCCGGUGAACCGGUUGUCGACCAACGGCACGGCCGGGUAGCCGCGUGCGGCGCGGAUAACCGCUGAAGGCAUCUAAGCGGGAAGCCGUUCCAGGGAUUAGUUCUCCUUCCGGUAAGGGCCCAGGUAGACUACCUGGUCGAUAGACGGCAGGUGCAAGGCUGGCGACAGCCUCAGCCGAGCCGCACUAAUCGCCCGAGCUCUUCCGGA
rnacentral:rRNA from 1 species